UGUCCUUGUUUGGCCCAGCCAGAGCAUGGACUUGAACUUGAACCAACAUCUCUCGAGAGACCUGAAAAUAGCUGUGAGCGACGCUCCCCAUCCAACCUGACAGAGCUUGAGAGGAUCUGCAGAGAAGAAUGGGAGAAACUCUCCAAAUACAGGUGUUCCAAGGUUGUAGCGUCAUACCUAGGAAGACUCGAGGCUGUAACCACUGCCAAAGGUGCUUCAACAAAGUACUGAGUAAAGGGGUGAGUCCAUCAUGGCUUCCAGCAUCUCUAGGAAGAGUUUGUGCAUGGGCACGCCGCCUCGGGUCUUGAUGCUGUAGAAGGUGGUGAGGGCGCGACCAGCCGUCUGGCGGAGAAGGGGGAGGGUGAGGAGGAGACGCCCCGCCCGCUGGGGGUCCUCGGGGCAUCGCUGGCACUCUAGCUCCAACAGGGUCUGGUGAAGGAGGUCCCUCAGCUUCUGCACCGCCUCUAUGUCCUCUAUGUACACAGAGUCUGGCAGGGGAGAGGGCGAGCAUGGUCAGCGUGUAUUUCUAAAAGCUUCCUUUUGUCUUUUGGACAGAGGGUUUUGUAAGAUUGUGUAUGGCAGUACAUGUAGGUGAUUAAGUAAUAGGACGCAAUGGUCCCUAACGUGACAAAUAUAAAAUAAAUAUUGCCUUUGUACGCUAAGCAGACCGUGGGGGUGAAUUUGCUGUUUACAGUAAUCGUCUGUCAGUCCCUCAGGGCUGGAGUUAUGCACUUUAACAAUCUUUACUAAUCUGUCUUGCACUGAUUUUUCUGGGGUGUAAUUUCUCUGAAAUAAACUGUUUGGACCAAUCUGCUAAAUGAAACUGAAGUAGAGUAGUGCUUCCAAUAAAGAAUGUUAGUAACUUA